rnacentral:tRNA from 1 species
UGCAGGGUCAGCUAAACAACAUAAGCUAUUGGGCUCAUGCCCCGAAAAUGGAUCUGAGAUCCCUCUGUGG